rnacentral:tRNA from 2 species
GGGGAUGUAGCUCAGUGGUAGAGCGCGCGCUUUGCAUGCGCGAGGUCCGGGGUUCGAAACCCCGCAUCUCCA